GGUUCGAUUAUCGGCUCAGAUUGAACGCUGGCGGGAUGCUUUACAUGCAAGUCGAACGGCAGCACGGACUUCGGUCUGGCGGCGAGUGGCCGAACGGGUGAAGGUAAUGUAUCGGAACGUGCGCACAAUGGCAGGGGGGAUAACUACGCGAAAGCGUAGCUAAUGCCGCAUACGCCCUUCGGGGGAAAGCGGGGACGCUUCGGGCCUCGCACUAUUAGAGCAGCCGAUAUCGGAUUAGCUAGUUGGUGGGGUAACGGCUCACCAAGGCGACGAUCCGUAGCUGGUUUGAGAGGACGACCAGCCACACUGGGACUGAGACACAGCCCCAGACUCCUACGAGAGAAGCCGCUUGAUGAAAUUUUGGACAAUGGAAACCUGAUCCAGCCAUCCCGCGUGUGCGAUAGGAGGCCUUCGGGUUGUAAAGCACUUUUGGCAGAAAGAAACGACACGGGAUAAUACCCCGUGCAACUGGCAGUACCUGCAGAAAUAAGCACCGGCACAACACGUGCCAGCAGCCGCGGUAAUACGUAGAAAGUGCAAGCGUUAAUCGAAUUACUGGGCGUAAAGCGUGCGCAGGCAGUUCGGAAAGAUGCCGAAAUCCCAGAAGCUUAACUUUGGAACUGCAUUUUUAACUACCGAGCUAGAGUGUGUCAGAGGGAGGUGGAAUUCCGCGUGUAGCAGUGAAAUAAAUGGCAGAUAUGCGGAGGAAUUACCGAUGGCGAAGGCAGCCUCCUGGGAUAACACUGACGCUCAUGCACGAAAGCGUGGGGAGCAAACAGGAUUAGAUACCCUGGUAGUCCACGCCCUAAACGAUGUCAACUAGCUGUUGGGGCCUCGGGCAUAUGGUAGCAUAACGCGUGAAGUUGACCGCCUGGGGGUACGGUCGCAAGAUUAAAACUCAAAGAAUUGGCGGACCGCACAAGCGGUGGAUGAUGUGGAUUAAUUCGAUGCAACGCGAAAAAGCCUUACCUACCUUGACAUGUCCUGGAAUCCCGAAGAGAUUGGGAGUGCUCGCAAGAGAACCGGAACACAAGGUGCUGCAUGGCUGUCGUCAGCUCGUGUCGUGAGAUGUUGGGUUAAGUCCCGCAACAGGCGCAACCCUUGUCAUUAGUUGCUACAAGAAAGGGGCACUCUAAUGAGACUGCCGGUGACAAACCGGAGGAAGGUGGGGAUGACGUCAAGUCCUCAUGGCCCUUAUGGGUAGGGCUUCACACGUCAUACAAUGGUCGGGAUAUGAAGGGUCGCCAACCCGCGAGGCCAAUCCCAGAAACCCGAUCGUAGUCCGGAUCGCAGUCUGCAACUCGACUGCGUGAAGUCGGAAUCGCUGGUAAUCGCGGAUCAGCAUGUCGCGGUGAAUACGUUCCCGGGUCUUGUACACCGCCCGUCACACCAUGGGAGUGGGUUUUACCAGUAGUUAGCCUAACCGUAAGGAGGGCGUUACCACAGUAGGAUUCAUGAGCUAUGGGGUGAAGUCGUAACUGGGUAA
rnacentral:rRNA from 1 species